UACGGGGGGGCAAGCGUUGUUCGGAAUUACUGGGCGUAAAGGCUCGUAGGCGGCCAACUAAGUCAGACGUGAAAUCCCUCGGCUUAACCGGGGAACUGCGUCUGAUACUGGAUGGCUUGAGAUUGGGAGAGGGAUGCGGAAUUCCGAGGUGUAGCGGUGAAAUGCGUAGAUAUCUGGAGGAACACCGGUGGCGAAGGCGGCAUCCUGGACCAACACUGACGCUGAGGAGCGAAAGCCAGGGGAGCAAACGGG
rnacentral:rRNA from 1 species